GGUGAGUAACACGUGAGCAACCUGCCCUAGGCUUUGGGAUAACCCUCGGAAACGGGGGCUAAUACCGAAUAUGACCUCGCAUCGCAUGGUGUGUGGUGGAAAGUUUUUCGGCCUGGGAUGGGCUCGCGGCCUAUCAGCUUGUUGGUGGGGUGAUGGCCUACCAAGGCGACGACGGGUAGCCGGCCUGAGAGGGCGACCGGCCACACUGGGACUGAGACACGGCCCAGACUCCUACGGGAGGCAGCAGUGGGGAAUAUUGCACAAUGGGCGGAAGCCUGAUGCAGCGACGCCGCGUGAGGGAUGACGGCCUUCGGGUUGUAAACCUCUUUCAGCAGGGACGAAGCGUAAGUGACGGUACCUGCAGAAGAAGCGCCGGCCAACUACGUGCCAGCAGCCGCGGUAAGACGUAGGGCGCGAGCGUUGUCCGGAUUUAUUGGGCGUAAAGAGCUCGUAGGCGGCU
rnacentral:rRNA from 1 species